AGAGGAAGAGUAGGAGGGAUAGAGGGAGGAAGAGUAGGAGUGAUAGAGAGAGGGAGAGUAGGAGGGAGAGAGAGGAAGAGUAGGACGUUGAGUAAGAGAGAGAAAUGCUAUCAGUUUAGUUCAGAAUCUCCUCCUGACUCAGUUAUACUACGAAGACCAACUAGAUCUCACAGUCUCACGUCAGAAUUAAACGUUCAUCUAUGUUUUUCAAACAUCACAUUUUGUUUCAAUUUAACUUCAGGCAUUAACUCUGAAUGGUUGAGGUUAGACAUUAACUCUGAAUGGUCAAGGUUAGGGUUAAGGUUAAUCAUUAAAUCUGAAUGGUUAAGGAUAGACAUUAACUCUGAAUGGUUAAGGUUAGGCAUUAACUCUGAAUGGUUAAGGUUAGACAUUAACUCUGAAUGGUUAAGGUUAGGGUUAAGGUUAGGCAUUAACUCUGAAUGGUUAAGGUUAGACAUUAACUCUGAAUGGUUAAGGUUAGGCAUUAACGCUGAAUGGUUAAGGUUAGGCAUUAACUCUGAAUGGUUAAGGUUAGGGUUAAGGUUAGGCAUUAACUCUGAAUGGUUAAGGUUAGGGCUAAGGUUAGGCAUUAACUCUGAAUGGUUAAGGUUAGACAUUAAUUCUGAAUGGUUAAGGUUAGGCAUUAACUCUGAAUGGUUAAGGUUAGACAUUAAAUCUGAAUGGUUAAGGUUAGACAUUAACUCUGAAUGGUUAAGGUUAGGCAUUAACUCUGAAUGGUUAAGGUUAGACAUUAACUCUGAAUGGUUAAGGUUAGACAUUAACUCUGAAUGGUUAAGGUUAGACAUUAACUCUGAAUGGUUAAGGUUAGGGUUAAGGUUAGGCAUUAACUCUGAAUGGUUAAGGUUAGACAUUAACUCUGAAUGGUUAAGGUUAGGCAUUAACUCUGAAUGGUUAAGGUUAGACAUUAACUCUGAAUGGUUAAGGUUAGACAUUAACUCUGAAUGGUUAAGGUUAGACAUUAACUCUGAAUGGUUAAGGUUGGGCAUUAACUGUGAAUGGUUAAGGUUAGACAUUAACUCUGAAUGGUUAAGGUUAGGGUUAAGGUUAGACAUUAACUCUGAAUGGUUAAGGUUAAUCAUUAACUCUGAAUGGUUAAGGUUAGGGUUGAUGUUAGGGCUUAAAUCACAGGAUUGA
rnacentral:lncRNA from 1 species